AAUGCAUCCAGCAAAUAAUUGUGUAGCAGUAAUCCCUAGGAAAUUAUUGGGUCGCCCUGCUUAUCACUCACGAAGAAUGGAGGACAGUGUUUCUCGUUGGGUUCUCAAGCCAUGGGAGGGACUGCCGAUUUCUCGUAUUGGUCAGAAAGGGUGGACUGAGCCCGCCCCCCCUUGGCCUCAACGCCGACGAAACAGAUAACGGGAAGGGGUUCAAGUUGCUCCUAACCUAGCAGACUACGGAGGCUCGCUCCUUCAGAACUGCAGCAAAUGCCUUGAUGGCCCCAGGGAAAUGGGACAAGUGGCCAAGCAUAUAUUUUCUUGUGUGGUUUCUGUACAACUUCCAUUUCUUUAUGUAUCCCUGGCAGAAUACCACAGGAGCGUGUGUCUAUGACUUUCUGUGGUGCAAGUCAACCCACAAACAUAGCAAUAGAUUUUUGUCCCAUAAGAAGUACUCUGCUUUUACAGGGAUUUUAAAAGGACUUAUCACAUCUUGGAAUCCCCCCCCCCCAUGUUAUGUUGCAGUAAUAACCAAGACAUUUAAGGCCUCAUGAAUUCUUUGCUGUUUCAGUAGAUUUCAAUUCUCAGUGAAGAUCUGCUUCCUGCUGAGGCAGUUGUAAGGGAAAGGGGGAAGCAAAAACAUUCCUUGGUUUCUGAGAUGCAAACCUUAUAAACAACAACUUAUCACAAGUUCCUAAGGAGUUGUUCCUGCAUGUAGAUUUUAUCACGGAAGCUGCUGGAAUUUCACUCAUGUUGCCUUUUAUUAAAAGGAAUUGGACCAUAAUGUGCCAUGAAGUUAGUACUCAAUCUGAACCUUAUCAAUUUUUAACUUCAUUUCACAAGAUGAGAGAGAGCACAACAUUCAUAUAGCAGUUUUUAGAUAAAUGGAAAAAUGAAAACUCUUGCCCCACAUCUUUUGAGUUCAGUCAUGGGAAGACAGAUUAUUUGAGGGUCCUGGGAAAAGGAAGUCCAUCAAGGAUAUUUGGUUGCAGGGAGAGAAAGAUCAAAUAUUCCCUGGCCAAAAAUGCAUAAUGCAGUCACAGUUCCCCCACCCAGCAGUGCAGUUUUAGCUUCUUCAGCAAAGUUGAGUGGUCCUUAUGGCCCUACAGAUAUUCUGCUUUUCUGAGAAUAUUGAGCCCCACAUGGCAUAAUCUUGUAUAACCCUUGUUAGAAUGCAUAUUUUGAGGUUUUAUCCAUUUCAAGAAAUACUCUAGAGAUAAUUUGAUAAGAUGAAAGCAAGGCCUCCUGGUAGAAUAAAUAAUAUUAAAAGGCAGUUUACUGUAAUAUUUACCAAAACAAUCUAAAGGCAAUAAAGCAGGGGAAUAGGGAAUUUGCCAGCGGCCACAGGAUGAGUUCAGCUAGCAGUCCCCUUCCCAUGUGGUUGUUUGUGCAUGUGUGCUAGCACACACCAGCCCUACCCCCUGCAUAUAAUGUCCUAUGCAGGGGGCGUGGUCACCACUGGCAAGACAGGUGAGCUUCCCAUGUGCCUAUUGCACUGGGCACUUCAUCGCCCACUGUUGGAUUUGGGAAAAUGUUUUUUCACUGCCUGGCCAAACUCAAUGGCGCAUGAAUGAAGCACCCACUGCAGUGCGCCCGACAUGGGGAUGGAUGAGCAACUCUGGCAGCCCCUUGAAGGUAUGGGUGAAGUGCUCGGGGCCACGGUGGCUGGAGGACAUCCUCCUGUGCUCAGUGAUGGCCAUGCGCCUGGCAAUAAAAGCUUUCCCCACUGGAACACCAAGCUGUGUUAGUAAGGCAAGCCGUCUCCAGAGAAAAAUUAGCUGGCUGGAAUUCCAAGUGGUGGGGGAUAUCUCAAGCACUGGCAAGAAAGUUCCUUCUGAUCUUAAUGCCGAGGAAUAUGCAAAGCAACCAGUCACUUCCAAAGGUAACAAAGUUGCAGAACAUUCCAGAACAAAUGAAACCCAAUUUAUAUUUAUUUUUAUUUGUUAAAUUUAGAUUGUUCAUUAAAACAAUCCCAAGCGGUUGCAUUAUGCAUAUAUUGCAUUAUGCUUACAGGAGGAGUGAAGCCUCUGGCAUCAGUUGUCCUGAGUUGGUGUGGUGAAAUGUUCACUUCCAUGUUAUUACACCAACUCCAGCCAAUUGACAGUUCUGUGUCAGGUUCUACUUCUGGGAGUGAAGAGGAAAGUUGUCAGAUAGCUGGGAUUAAAACCUCACAGAUGGGCAGGCUGGAGAGAGGGGAGCAUCACCAGGAUAUAAGGAAGCUAAGAAGCAGGGACAAGGAAGCUGAAGUGCAGAAAGAAUAAGAAUCUGAAGAAAUGGUACAUGGUCUGAAAAAAAGAAGGGGAGGGGGGAAUUGAGAUAAAGGGCAAAUCAAAUAAUGAUUUACUUUGAAGAAACUUCACAGCAACUAAAGAUAAUAAGCUAUAUACUAUGGAGACAGGUUUGCUAGAGAGGCUGGUCAAGAGCCAGGGUGGCUAACAGAAAUGUCCCUAUCCAACCCAAGCAUGGAGUCCCUUCAGUGGCUGUUGCUGGUGUUUACUGUGCAUUUCUUUUUAGAUUGUGAGCCCUUUUGGGACAGGGAAACAUCUUAUUUAGUUGUGUAUUUUUCUGUGUAAAUUCCUUUGAGAACAUUUGUUGAAGAGUGGUAUAUAAAUAUUCAUAGUAGAAUAAAUGUUUGCUAGAGCCCA